UAACUGAUGGAAAUCCAAUUGUUUGUUUCAUCCCUCAGCUGCCAAGAAGAUAAGGAGGAGGCAUUGAAAGUACUCAACGGACGCAAAUGGAAAGGACUAGUGCUCAAAGCCAAGCUCGCCAAGUCAGUUGAGGACCCGGACACUAAGAGCCUCGCUCUGAAGAGAAGCCAAGAGGAAUCUGAUGAAAACACCCAAGAAGCUAAGAGGAGGAAGGAGGAGGACAGCUGACCAGUAGAAGAGAGGUUAAACAACACGGUGACUCCACUGUGGAACCAGCCAUGUGAGGACCAGCUAUCCACCAAACAGACCAACACCAGGGAGUUUCUGAGGAAUUUAUCCAAGAUGCUGCAACGGAACAUUGGGGAGAUGCCUCCCUGUCUGAAGCAACAAAGGAAGAACCACAGUGGGAUGGCAUGUGAGUUGGAGCCAAUUAAGCCAUCGCCAGUAUUAGAGAGUUAUCGCAACAAGUGUGAGUUUACCAUCGGAAAGAGUGUCUAUGGCAUCGAUAACACUGUUGGUUUCCGGCUUGGCGCUUACAAAGGUCUUGACCCACAAGA